AUUGUGGAACUGGUCUCGCAGUAACAGCAACAGUAAGGAGAGUUUUGAAUUCCUUGUAGACACUGGAAGCAUAAGGAGCGCGUAUUGAACUAGGAGAACUGCUCCACCUCAUAUGGCAAAUCUGAGCCUUCCCCCUCUGUCCUCUCACUUUCCCUGUGAGCGAAGGUCAGCUGUGUUCCGCCAUUUUGGAAAGAAAAUCCUGGGCCCAAAGCUUUUCUGCUGGUAAGAGCUGCUCAGGCUACAGCAAGGUUUGGUGCAAAUUUCAGUGGAUCUUCAGUCACAAGGUCUGUCCUGGAUAUUCUAAUUGCUUGAAACAAGGAAGAGGUGAUUGUGUGUCUACCCAGAAGUAUAAGUUGAAGAAGACUUUGAUGAUGAACCUGAGGAGGACUUUGAUAUGGUGCACGAACCAGAACCCCAGGCUGGGCCUUGCGCUCCUGAGAGGGAAACCAUGCCCCCAAGAGGGCAGGAGCAGCACCCCAGAGAGUGCAGGGGUAGACGGAGAAGGGGCCUGGAGGGCCUGCUCAUAGGGAUGGACAGGAGAAGCCAGGAGUAAUUUGAGUUCCUUAAAGGAAGGGAGGAGCAGUGUCUUCAGCAGGAGAAGAGACCUCUGGAGAUGGAGGUAAGCCACGCCCUAGGGAACUGGAACGAUCCCUAAUGGAGAGGCUUCGAGGAUUGGUGGCUGACAGACUGCAGCAUCUGUCUGCUGCUGAGGCCCCAGAACCAGCCCAUCAGCUGCCAUUGCUGCUGCCUUCUCUGGUUGCCACCCAGGGUGCUGCUGAGCCUGUAGAUCUUGUUCCAAUGACCACCCA